rnacentral:sRNA from 1 species
UGCCUCUUGGUUGAUGAAGAUGGAACCAU